GACGAACGCUGGCGGCGUGCUUAACACAUGCAAGUCGAACGGAAAGGCCCUGCUUUUGUGGGGUGCUCGAGUGGCGAAGGGGUGAGUAACACGUGAGUAACCUGCCCUUGACUUUGGGAUAACUUCAGGAAACUGGGGCUAAUACCGGAUAGGAGCUCCUGCUGCAUGGUGGGGGUUGGAAAGUUUCGGCGGUUGGGGAUGGACUCGCGGCUUAUCAGCUUGUUGGUGGGGUAGUGGCUUACCAAGGCUUUGACGGGUAGCCGGCCUGAGAGGGUGACCGGCCACCUUGGGACUGAGAUACGGCCCAGACUCCUACGGGAGGCAGCAGUGGGGAAUAUUGCACAAUGGGCGGAAGCCUGAUGCAGCAACGCCGCGUGCGGGAUGACGGCCUUCGGGUUGUAAACCGCUUUCGCCUGUGACGAAGCGUGAGUGACGGUAAUGGGUAAAGAAGCACCGGCUAACUACGUG
rnacentral:rRNA from 1 species